rnacentral:rRNA from 1 species
AGCGAACGCUGGCGGCAGGCCUAACACAUGCAAGUCGAACGCACCCUUCGGGGUGAGUGGCAGGCGGGUGAGUAACACGUGGGAAUGUACCUUUCGGUUCGGAAUAACCCAGGGAAACUUGGGCUAAUACCGGAUACGCCCUUACGGGGAAAGAUUUAUCGCCGAAGGAUCAGCCCGCGCCGGAUUAGCUUGUUGGUGAGGUAAUGGCUCACCAAGGCGACGAUCCGUAGCUGGUCUGAGAGGAUGAUCAGCCACACUGGGACUGAGACACGGCCCAGACUCCUACGGGAGGCAGCAGUGGGGAAUAUUGGACAAUGGGCGCAAGCCUGAUCCAGCCAUGCCGCGUGAGUGAUGAAGGCCCUAGGGUUGUAAAGCUCUUUCGGCGGGGAAGAUAAUGACGGUACCCGCAGAAGAAGCCCCGGCUAACUUCGUG